UCAGCACCUUCUGGUUUUCAUUUAUUUCCCCUCUGUUUUCACUAUAUAAACCCCUUCCGUCCCUUCAACAACCAUCUCUUCUUUUUAUCACUUCACUGCUGGCUUGCGCUUAAUGUCAUAAAUUUUGCAUGAUUUUCUCAACUCCUUAUUCCUUCUUCUCUGUCUACUCUUUCUCAUGCUCCUGCUCCAGUUCUUGCUCAUGCUUUCUACUGCUCAAGCCUCAAGAGAUUAUUUUCAUGGAGCCGCUGAUACCUUUGUGCCUCCUUGAAACGUCCAAAGAAGAACAUCAGUAUUCUGGCUUCCAUCACAAGUAUAAAAUCAACAGGAGUUUAAGGGUGCUAUCCUUGCUGAGCUUUUUUGGAUUUUCAUUAUUAAUAUUUUUCAUUUAAUUUUUUUCUUGACCUUGCAAGACUUUCUAAUUCUUGUGUUAAGAUUUGUAAGGUUUUUAUUUUUGUUUUGAUUUUUGAUUUUUAUUUUUAUCUUGAUCAAUCCUCCCAUCUUUCUUUUUUGUCUCUAUUCCUCCUGAGCUUUACUGAAAUAAAAAAAAAAUUGAAUAUCUCUUUCUAAUGUUGUAUUAUAUAAUUUACUAUUUUUCUUGUAAUUGCUCUCCGUGCUUUUGAAUAUCUCCUAUUUUUCAUUUGGUCAUUUAGCGGGACUUUGUAAGUUCAUGAUCUUCUGUAUUUUGGUAAAACUACAAAUAUAUUGGCUCGUCUUUGAGGAGUGGAGGAUGCCUUUUUUCACUUUUCCGUUUACAAUGCUUGAAGGAUGCUCACUGCAUGCCCAUGAUCAGGACCUUGAUAAUGAUGUUGAAAUUACUCCUUAUGUGAGACAUAACUUAGAUGGAAUAAAAUAUAUGCCCUAUAAAGAAGGGAAGAAAGAUGUAGAAGGUCUGAAUGUAUGACUAGUAUAUUUAGUUCUAUAUUCUGUAGUGAUACCGACUAAAAUGAGAUGGUCAAUUCAGAAGAGCUAAUUUCCUUGCAAGAUGGGUAUAAUCCUGUUUCGUUUUAGCUGAAACCCUGUAACUUAGAAUGUUGUUUUGUAUUCAGAUUCUUGCAGGUGUAUAUGGUGAUUGGAUC
rnacentral:lncRNA from 1 species